UACGUAGGUGGCAAGCGUUGUCCGGAUUUAUUGGGUUUAAAGGGUGCGUAGGCGGCUUUGUAAGUCAGUGGGGAAAUAUGGCAGCUCAACUGUCAGGGUGCCAUUGAUACUGCGGAGCUUGAGUACAGAUGAGGUAGGCGGAAUUGACGGUGUAGCGGUGAAAUGCUUAGAUAUCGUCAAGAACACCGAUAGCGAAGGCAGCUUACUAGGCUGUAACUGACGCUGAGGCACGAAAGUGUGGGGAUCAAACAGG
rnacentral:rRNA from 1 species